rnacentral:rRNA from 1 species
GAUGAACGCUGGCGGCGUGCCUAAUACAUGCAAGUCGAGCGAACAGACGAGGAGCUUGCUCCUCUGACGUUAGCGGCGGACGGGUGAGUAACACGUGGAUAACCUACCUAUAAGACUGGGAUAACUUCGGGAAACCGGAGCUAAUACCGGAUAAUAUAUUGAACCGCAUGGUUCAAUAGUGAAAGACGGUUUUGCUGUCACUUAUAGAUGGAUCCGCGCCGCAUUAGCUAGUUGGUAAGGUAACGGCUUACCAAGGCAACGAUGCGUAGCCGACCUGAGAGGGUGAUUGGCCAAAAUGGAACUGAGAACCGGGCCCGGCUCCUAAGGGAGGCAGCAGUAGGGAAUCUUCCGCAAUGGGGGGAAGCCUGACCGAGCAACGCCGGGGGAGGUAAGAAGGUCUUCGGAUUGUAAAACCUUUUUAUUAGGGAAGAACAAAUGUGUAAGUAACUAUGCACGUCUUGACGGUACCUAAUCAGAAAGCCACGGCUAACUACGUG